ensembl:misc_RNA Metazoa_SRP Metazoan signal recognition particle RNA
GCCGGGUGUGGUGGCCUGCACCUGUAGUCCUAGCUACUUAGGAGGCUGAGGCAGGAGGAUCGCUUGAGCCCAGGAUGUCAAGGCUGCAGUGAGCUGUGAUUGUGCAGUGGCUGCCACUGCACUCCAGCCUGGGUGACAGAGCCAGACCCUGUCUCAA